AGUGAACGCUGGCGGUAGGCCUAACACAUGCAAGUCGAACGGCAGCACAGUAAGAGCUUGCUCUUACGGGUGGCGAGUGGCGGACGGGUGAGGAAUACAUCGGAAUCUACUUUUUCGUGGGGGAUAACGUAGGGAAACUUACGCUAAUACCGCAUACGACCUACGGGUGAAAGCAGGAGAUCUUCGGACCUUUCGCGAUUGAAUGAGCCGAUGUCGGAUUAGAUAGUUGGCGGGGUAAAGGCCAACCAAGGCGACGAUCCGUAGCUGGUCUGAGAGGAUGAUCAGCCAGACUGGAACUGAGACGCGGUCCAGACUCCUACGGGAGGCAGCAGUGGGGAAUAUUAGGCAAUGGGAGCAAGCCUGAUCCAGCCAUACCGCGUGGAUGAAGAAGGCCUUCGGGUUGUAAAGACCUUGUGUUGGGAAAGAAAAGCAGCAGGUUAAUACCCCGCUGUUCUGACGGUACCCAAAGAAUAAGCACCGGCUAACUUCGUG
rnacentral:rRNA from 1 species